ACUCCCUCAUUAGCAUCUCAUCCUAAGGACACCUUCUACCUCCUUGUCCUCUAAGCAAUGCUUUUCAAACCCUACAGACCAGUGCCUGCAUCAGAAUAAUGAGGAAGGGCUUUUGGAAUACUAUGCAGCCAUGUCCCUCUGCAGGGACAUGGAUGAAGCUGGAAACCGUCAUUCUCAGCAAACUAACAUAAGAACAGAAAACCAAACACCACAUGUCCUCACUCAUAAGUGGGAGUUGAACAAUGAGAAUACAUGGACACGGGCAGUGACCUGAGAAGCUACGUAUUGACACGGCGCUACCACGGGUGGAGGAGCCUGCAUUGCUGAAUCACAGGAUGAAGGCGAAUCCCUGCCAGCCUCCAUCCAUCUCUGGGGUGCUUAGCAGAAUCCUCAGCUCACAAGAUGAAUAAAUGCAGACUAAAUGAUGCACAAAUAAUCUUCACACACAACCAUCAACACAUGGAAAGACUGCAGGACGGCCAGAUCCCAAGCUAACAAACAGGGGAAGAUGAUGUUUCAAAUGAUCAUCUGAAUGCUGGGUUUCCACCUUCCACCAGGAAGUCAUAUGGUUGUUCAACAGUUUCGUAUCUGCCAAACCUGAGAAAA
ensembl:lncRNA CT69 cancer/testis associated transcript 69